GUCUCAAUGGCGUAGUGGGAGAGCGACGGACUCUCACUAGGGAGAUUGGGUUCGAAUCCCGGAUGAGACA